rnacentral:rRNA from 1 species
UAACAAUCAGAAAGCAGCAAGCAACAAGCGCUCACUCCCCUAACGACAGAGAGAAAGGGCCCUCGAUCGGCCGGUCGGCCGGCUGGGUAAACCUUCUUUUCCUCCUUUAUUUCGCUGCAGAUCGGCCGGUUUCUGCCCUCCACGGGUGCCGCGGGCGGCAAAGCAGCAGCCGGGGCGCCACACAUCGCUUCAGGAAGAAAAGACGAUGGCGGGAGAGACGAUAAAAGGGGUUUGUCCGGGAGCGAUCAUUGCAUGGGUGGAUGAGUAUAAUUGCAUCCUGUGGAGCCACGCCUACGGCCAUCUUAGAUCAAAGAGAGAGACAAAAGACCAGGAAAUGCAGCAAUAAUACGGUGACCGACAUUAUCUCCAGAGAGGCAGAGAAAAAAG